rnacentral:rRNA from 1 species
GCCGUGACUGCGUGCCUUUUGAAGAAUGAGCCUGCGAGUUUGCGGUGUGUUGCGAGGUUAACCCGUGUGGGGAAGCCGUAGCGAAAGCGAGUCCGAACAGGGCGACCCAGUAGCAUGCCCUAGACCCGAAGCGGAGUGAUCUAGCCAUGGGCAGGGUGAAGCGAGGGUAAGACCUCGUGGAGGCCCGAACCCACCAGAGUUGAAAAUCUGGGGGAUGACCUGUGGUUAGGGGUGAAAGGCCAAUCAAACUCCGUGAUAGCUGGUUCUCCCCGAAAUGCAUUUAGGUGCAGCGUCGUGUGUUUCUUGCCGGAGGUAGAGCACUGGAUAGGUGAUGGGCCUUACCGGGUUACUGACCUUAGCCAAACUCCGAAUGCCGGUAAGUGAGAGCGCGGCAGUGAGACUGUGGGGGAUAAGCUCCAUGGUCGAGAGGGAAACAGCCCAGAGCAUCGACUAAGGCCCCUAAGCGUGUGCUAAGUGGGAAAGGAUGUGGAGUCGCAGAGACAACCAGGAGGUUGGCUUAGAAGCAGCCAUCCUUGAAAGAGUGCGUAAUAGCUCACUGGUCGAGUGAUUCUGCGCCGACAAUGUAGCGGGGCUCAAGUACACCGCCGAAGUCGUGUCACUGCAACAAUACUUCUAACGAGGGUUGUGGUGGGUAGGGGAGCGUCGUGUGCCGGGUGAAGCAGCCGUGGAAACGAGUUGUGGAUGGUAUGCGAGUGAGAAUGCAGGCAUGAGUAGCGAUACAAGAGUGGGAAACUCUUGCGCCGAUUGACUAAGGGUUCCUGGGUCAAGUUGAUCUGCCCAGGGUAAGUCGGGGCCUAAGGCGAGGCCGACAGGCGUAGUCGAUGGAUAACCGGUUGAUAUUCCGGUACCCGUUGUGGAGCGCCAACGCUGAAUCAGGCGAUGCUAAGCCCGCGAAGCCGCCGGGUGUCCCUUCGGGGAUGUUCGGAGUGGUGGAGUCGGUGGUCCAGACCUGUAGUAGGUGAGUGAUGGGGUGACGCAGGAAGGUAGUCCAGCCCGGGCGGUGGUUGUCCCGGGGUAAGGGUGUGGCCCGUGGAGCAGGUAAAUCCGUUCCACACGAGGGUGAGACCUGAUGCCGAGCCGAUUGUGGUGAAGUGGAUGAUCCUAUGCUGUCGAGAAAAGCCUCUAGCGAGUUUCACAAUGGCCCGUACCCUAAACCGACUCAGGUGGUCAGGUAGAGUAUACCGAGGCGUUCGGGUGAACUAUGGUUAAGGAACUCGGCAAAAUGCCCCCGUAACUUCGGGAGAAGGGGGGCCAUUUCUGGUGAUGAGUCUUGCACUCUGAGCUGGGGGUGGCCGCAGAGACCAGCGAGAAGCGACUGUUUACUAAAAACACAGGUCCGUGCGAAGCUGUAAGGCGAUGUAUACGGACUGACGCCUGCCCGGUGCUGGAACGUUAAGGGGACCGGUUAGCUCUGUUUCGACAGGGCGAAGCUGAGAACUUAAGCGCCAGUAAACGGCGGUGGUAACUAUAACCAUCCUAAGGUAGCGAAAUUCCUUGUCGGGUAAGUUCCGACCUGCACGAAUGGCGUAACGACUUCUUGACUGUCUCAACCAUAGGCCCGGUGAAAUUGCACUACGAGUAAAGAUGCUCGUUUCGCGCAGCAGGACGGAAAGACCCCGGGACCUUUACUAUAGCUUGAUAUUGGUGUUCGGUUCGGUUUGUGUAGGAUAGGUGGGAGACUGUGAAGCCUGGACGCUAGUUCGGGUGGAGUCGUUGUUGAAAUACCACUCUGAUCGUGCUGGAUGUCUAACCUGGGUCCGUGAUCCGGAUCGGGGACAGUGUCUGGUGGGUAGUUUAACUGGGGCGGUUGCCUCCUAAAGAGUAACGGAGGCGCCCAAAGGUUCCCUCAGCCUGGUUGGUCAUCAGGUGGUGAGUGUAAGUGCACAAGGGAGCUUGACUGUGAGACUGGCAGGUCGAGCAGGUGCGAAAGCAGGGACUAGUGAUCCGGCGGUGGUUUGUGGAAGCGCCGUCGCUCAACGGAUAAAAGGUACCCCGGGGAUAACAGGCUGAUCUUCCCCAAGAGUCCGUAUCGACGGGAUGGUUUGGCACCUCGAUGUCGGCUCGUCGCAUCCUGGGGCUGGAGUUGGUCCCAAGGGUUGGGCUGUUCGCCCAUUAAAGCGGUACGCGAGCUGGGUUUAGAACGUCGUGAGACAGUUCGGUCCCUAUCCGCUGUGCGCGUUGGAGUCUUGAGAAGGGCUGUCCCUAGUACGAGAGGACCGGGACGGACGAACCUCUGGUGUGCCAGUUGUUCUGCCAAGGGCAUGGCUGGUUGGCUACGUUCGGGAGGGAUAACCGCUGAAAGCAUCUAAGCGGGAAGCCUGCUUCGAGAUGAGGGCUCCCACCCACUUGAUGGGGUAAGGCUCCCUGUAGACGACAGGGUUGAUAGGCCAGAUAUGGAAGCCUUGU